UACGGAGGGUGCGAGCGUUGUCCGGAAUCAUUGGGCGUAAAGGGCGCGUAGGUGGCCCGGUCAGCGUGCGGUGAAAGCUCGGGGCUCAACCCCGAGUCGGCCGUGCGAACUGCUGGGCUUGAGCACUGUAGAGGCAGGCGGAAUUCCGGGUGUAGCGGUGGAAUGCGUAGAGAUCCGGAAGAACACCACUGGCGAAGGCAAGGUCCUGGCUCGUAUCUGACGCUGAGGUGCGAAAGCUAGGGGAGCGAACGGG
rnacentral:rRNA from 1 species